rnacentral:lncRNA from 1 species
CCAACAUGCCAAAGACAAACUCUAUUUUAAAAAAUUAUAAAAAUAAAAAGAAAAUAUUGACCGUUCUAGAGCAAGUGACAAAGAGUUUGGUGGUUGAUACCCGAGACCUAAAUUCGAAUUCUAGUUAAUUUACAUUUUCAGCUAAAUUUAUUUCUAAAUAAAAUAAACGAAGCGAGUAGCGUGCUAUCUAUCUCUCAAAAAAAAUAAAAUAAAAUAACAAAAGGUUCUCAAUCUGAUAAUUAGUCCAUAUAAUAAAACUCUCUCUUCCCGAUGAUUUUGAUUAUCUAAAAAUAUAUAGAAGUUAUCUGCCGUAUAUUCAUUUUGAUCUAAUUUCUUAUUGGAAAAACUUCAAAAACCCCCCUGUGGUUUCAUAGUUUCUCACUUUGCCCCCGUGUGGUUUAAAAUGUAUCAAUUUGUUCCCCUGUGGUUUCUUUGUUCUUUUUUUUUCAUCAAUUUUAUUAUUUUUUUUUUCUUAAAUCAGUAAUAAAGUUAAAAUUAAAGGAUACUAAAGUGAAUAUUUGAUAAAUCUAUAUAGGUAUCUGAAGUUUUUUGUAUAUAAUUUAAUGAAAUAUUAACAAAAAAAGCUACCGAAAAGAUAAAAACGAAACCACAGGGGGGCAAUUUGAUAUAUUUUAAACCACAGGGGGGCAAAGUGAGAAACUACGAAACCACAGGGGGGUUUUUGAAGUUUUCCCUUUCUUAUUUUAUUUUACUUUUCAAUCUUUCACUUUUUUAGCUUAUUUUUGAAUAAUUUGAUAG